GACGAACGCUGGCGGCGUGCUUAACACAUGCAAGUCGAACGGUGAAGGGACUGGUUUUGCUGGUCCUGGAUGAGUGGCGAACGGGUGAGUAACACGUGAGUAACCUGCCCCCUUCUUCUGGAUAACCGCAUGAAAGUGUGGCUAAUACGGGAUAUUCUGGGUCUGUCGCAUGGUGGGCCUGGGAAAGAUUGCGCCUUUUUUGGUGUUUUUGGUGGGGGAUGGGCUCGCGGCCUAUCAGCUUGUUGGUGGGGUGAUGGCCUACCAAGGCGGUGACGGGUAGUCGGCCUGAGAGGGUGGACGGUCACACUGGGACUGAGACACGGCCCAGACUCCUACGGGAGGCAGCAGUGGGGAAUAUUGCACAAUGGGCGCAAGCCUGAUGCAGCGACGCCGCGUGAGGGAUGGAGGCCUUCGGGUUGUGAACCUCUUUCGCCAGUGAAGCAGGCCUGCCUCUUUUUGUGGGUGGGUUGACGGUAGCUGGAUAAGAAGCGCCGGCUAACUACGUG
rnacentral:rRNA from 1 species